AGCCUUCUAUAUCCGUGCUGAGAUUUCGUCACGCACCAUACCACAAGGGCUAAUGAGACUCCCAAGAUAAGUGAAGCG
rfam:Schistosoma mattheei strain Denwood, Zambia genome assembly, scaffold: SMTD_scaffold0016080